ACAUUACAUCACGCAACUCUCUCUCCCUCUCUCUCUCUCUCUCUCUCUCUCUCUCUCUCUCACACACACACACAUACAAAGUGUAUCUUUGCUCCGUCCUUUCCUUUCUCUUCCCUUGAUUCGUACGCAUACUUUCUAUCUUCUUUCAUCUUCUUCUUCUUAUUCAUCCUCGUAGUAGAUCUCCCUAAUCUCUAUCUCCAAAAACCCAAAUCAAACACCAACAAAUCAGAUGGCAAUGCAGGAAACAACUCCUGCUCCAAGUGCCGAAGUUGUUGGCAAUGCCUUUGUGGAGCAGUAUUACCACAUUUUACACCAAUCCCCUGGACUAGUUCAUAAAUUUUAUCAGGAUUCAAGUUUGCUAAGCCGGCCAGAUGCUGAUGGCACUAUGACAACAGUGACAACCAUGCAAGCAAUCAAUGACAAGAUUCUUUCCUUGAAUUAUGAAGACUACACAGCUGAGAUAAAAAAUGCAGAUGCACAGGAGUCUUAUGAGAAAGGGGUGAUUGUUCUUGUUACUGGUUGCUUAACUGGAAAGGACAAUGUGAAGAAGAAAUUCUCUCAAACAUUUUUCCUUGCUCCUCAAGACAAAGGCUACUUUGUGUUGAAUGAUGUAUUUAGGUUUGUUGGGGAGAAUGAAUCAUUGCCGAAUGAUUCUUUCUUGAUUAACGGUGUCAAUGAAAAUGCUGUGCCUAUAACCUCGACAACACAAUCAGGUUGGGGUGAUAUUUCAGAAGCAGAUCCCACACAGGAUACUGAUUAUCUUGCAGUGGACCCUGCUACCUCCUUGGAGGAGGAAGAUCUUAAUAAUGGCGCCGAAGUUUUUGAUCCUUCUGAUAAGGAGGAAGGCUCAGUGAUCAAAGAAGAGGUUGUUGAACACCAAACUGGUUCAACUGAUGGUGAAAUUCUCAUAAGUGUUGAUGCAUCUCCUGCAGCUCUGGAAUAUGCUCCAAAGAAAUCAUAUGCUUCAAUUGUGAAAGUAACGAAAGGUACAGUGCUUAGUUCAGUGUAUGUUGCCACUAAUUCACAGGUGGCACCUGCAAACUCUGAAAAACAAUCCCUUAACUCUGCAAAACCUGCUUAUGGCCCAGAGGUUGUUGCUCCUACUAGUGUUGGUGCUCCUGAAAGUAGUGAUGUUCAUGAAGAAGCUGAAGGUUAUUCCAUAUACAUACGGAAUUUACCUUUUAAUGCAACAGCUGUACAACUUGAUGAGGUGUUUAAAAAAUUUGGGCCAAUAAAGCGAGGUGGCAUCCAAGUUAGAAGUAAUAAGCAAGGAUUCUGUUUCGGCUUUGUUGAAUUUGAAACGUGGAAUUCCAUGCAAAGUGCACUUGAGGCUUCACCUAUCAAUAUUGGGGAUUGUCAGGCUACUGUUGAGGAAAAGAAAACCAACACCCGAGUUGGUAGCAGCGGGAGGGGGAGGUAUUCCUCAGGAAGAGGUGGUUUUAGGAGUGACAGUUUCAAGAACCGUGGGAACUUUGGCAGUAGCCGUGGUUAUGGCAGAAAUGAAUUCAGAAACCAGGGUGAAUUUUCACUGCGACCUAAGGGUUCAGCUGGGCGCAGUGGUGAUGAUUACCAGCGGACUAAUCCAAAUGGAAGCAGAAGGGGAGGGCGCCAGGGUGGGGUGAGAGCAAGAUCAGAAGUCCAGACAUGAAAGCACAAAGGGGAACAACCGAAACAGUAGCAAGACUGGCUUUUUAGCAUGUUUGCUCGCUUUCUCCUUAUUCUGCCAACAAUCAGUCAUAUUUAGCAAAUUCUCUGGCGUGUGUAUUGCAAUGUUUGUUCUAGCAAAAGCACGACAAUUUCUUGUAAGUUGACCAGCACCUUCAGGUUAGAACCCAUCUUUCUUUCUUGCAUUUGCUGAUGAGUUAGGCAAGAAAAAGCAAGGGUCAACACUCCCAAGCAGUUACUUUGAAAGAGGCAAGACAAUAAUUGGACCUCCACCUGAAAUCCAUAGUUGAAUGGCCCACGUGUCUCCAAUCUGUGAAUCCAUUCACUCUUUCCUGCUGUGAUAUAUAGGCUCCAUUGGCCAAUAUAUGUCAAUUAUAACUGAGCAAAACGACAAACAGUAAUUUUCUUGACCAAUGGUGACUAAGUGGCUUUCUGGUUUUGACUUGUACCAAUCUUAUAAAUAGCCAAAGCAACUAUUUCACAGAAAACGGCUAAGUCCGCUAGGAGUUAGUAGUGAGGCAUUGGCUGGAAAACGCGCUAGAGGUGAAUUGAAGGCUCUAGAUCUCCAAAUAGAAUCAUCCAGUGGAAGGGUCUGUUUCCCAGUUCCAAAUUACCAUUAGGUUAACUGGUGAUUCAAAUAAGACUGUUGGACUUACUUCACCUUGCUCAGUCGAGGACCUAGAUUCACUUGUAGCCCUGCAAAGCUUGUACCUUUCUCCAAGUAUUUCAGUUUCACUCAUGAUGGAUGCCCCAAAACUUGGGCCAUAUGUAAAUUUUUGUGCCUCACUGGUUCUGUUUCUUUGUUCAGUUCCAGAUUAUGAUAUCUCUGUUGUUGAUUUUAGCAUGAAGAAUGCCACUUAUGCUUUUUUA